UUGUGUUGAUUUCUGAUUUAUUGUCUAAUUGUAAUGGAUUUUAAUUUCUGAGUUUGUCAUCUGAACUUCUGUUGAUUGUGUUCUGAAUUUCUGAUGUUGCAUGUGUUGUUGGUUUGUUGAUAAGAUAGAAAUUGUAUAAAUCCCGGUUGGUGUGUUGUUGGUGUUGUUAACUGUAUUUGAUUUGUGCAAGUUUGUAUUGGUGAUGGUUGCUGAUUAUAAAUUUUUAUUGCAAGGUGUCUGAGAAGAAGGCUGAAGAAAGUUGAGCCCUCUUGAAAGCUGAGCAUUAGCUUGGGAUGAAGCAAAACGUGGUAAUUAUCUGCCCAGAAUUUUGCAGAUGGUUCAGGUCACAAUAGUCCUUGUGUCAGUUGUGUGAGGGUGAGGCACAUGUUUGAGAAUGAGAUGACACCAAUGCUAGCCAAGAGCCUUCAAGAACCGGUACGCGGAUUCGAGCCAAUACUCCGGCAACUAGGAGUCUAAUUCACUCUGGGGCUUCAACUCCGGUGAUGCCCCGAAAUGGUGGGAUGGAAAUUGGAAUCUCAUUCUGGCGAGGGUCAUCAAGGAUCAUGGAAUCCUUCUUGCAAGGUGUCUGAGAAGAAGGCUGAAGAUCAUGCAAGGAAGUUGAGCCCUCUUGAAAGCUGAGCAUUGGCUUGGGAUGAAGCAGAAUGUGCCAAGUAUAUGCCCAGGUUCAGGCAUGAAGAGGUGAGGAUUCAAUCAUGUUA